UUACCGAACUUUCAGUGUCUGCUGGUAGAAUCAGCUGAAGGAAGAAAACUAGUUAAAACAAGAAGUUUUGCCAAACUUGGACCGCCUGGCGAGGUCACGGCAACCACAUUUACAAAGAUGACCCCUGUGACCUUGAAAAUUAGGUCACGGUCACCAAAUUCAAACUUGACCUGUAUCUUAUUAUGGUACACCUGUGUGCCAAAUAUGGUGAGGCUACAUCAAUAUUUUGUGGAGUUAUCGCGUGGAAACCAAAGUGUUACAGACAAGCAAGCAAGACCAUGCAGCUGAAAACAAUACCUCGCGGAAAACGAUGUUUUGCUGGGUGGUAAUAAGACAACGGGCAGGAAAACUGUGGAAAAGAUUCUGCUUCUUCACCAAUAAAUAAACCACCAGUGACCAGGGGUCUGUUUCACGAAGCAGGUUCACUGAAAACUCUGAGUUUCUUAACCCUGAAAUGAGGGAAACUCAGAGUUUUCCGUUUCACGAAGCGAGGUAACUUAACCCUGAGACAGAGGGGUAACUCUAGCCUGUUUCACAAAGAGGGGUAACUUCAACUCUCGGUCAGUUACCGCAGUAACAGACUCUAUGACUCUAACCUGGUCACCAGCAGGUUUAUCUGAGAAAACCUCCAGUUUCUCUCCGUCUCCGCCCUCUUUCAGCCACACGCUGUUUCAUUUCCUCAUUCAUUCAGUCAGUAAGCGAGCGAGUUUUGGCGUAGAACAGCUUUUAUUAAUGAUCCAGUGGAUAAAGGAGCAGCAUUACUGCACAGAUCAUUAAAUAUUCGUCGGUAGAUUGUUAUCAGACCGAGCAUAAAUGUUCUCGCAUUUCCGGACAAUUAUCGGUUUGAGCGGUACCGUUUCGUAAUCGUUUCAAGUCCAUCAUCUACAUAAACAACCUAAUCCGUCCUUACAUUUACAUUACCAACCAGUCAUGCUCUCACAUCCAGCAGAUAUUGUGUGUUGCGCUGCGGUUCUUUGCAAAUGGAAGUUUUUAUAUGAUGUCAGAGAUGCAGAGUAAGACAACUGUAUGGAGGACAGUCAGAAAAGUUUUCCUGUCUCUGAAACGACUUUUACCAUCAUUGUGGACAUAAACCUGUCAGAACAUCAAGGAGGAUCCACAGGAUUGCAGGAUUUCCCAGUGUGAUUGGCUGCAUAGAUGCACACACAUCCCCAUCACAGCUCCCUCACAUCAUGAACAGGAAGUCCAUUCACAGCAUAAAUGUGCAGAUCAUAUGUGAUGCUGCAUACAUCAUUUCUAAUGUGGAGGCCACGUGGUCUGGGUCUGUUCAUGACUCCAGGAUUUAUGGAGAGUCUAACCUGAGCAACAGACUGCAGCGUGGUCAGCAGCAUAAAGAUUUUCACAAUAGAAUUCUCUUGUCUCCCUCCUUUAAUAUGCUCUGAUGUAUCCACUAUACAUUACAGGAGAGUUUGAUGGCCUUCUGCUGGGUGACAGGGGUUACCAUGACAACCCAGGCUGAUGACCUCAUACCCUGACCCUGAACCAGGCCCCCAACAGAACUUCAACCGGACUCACUGCAGGACCAGAGCCCGGGUGGAGAUGACCAUAGGCCUGCUGAAAGCCCGUUUCCAGAGCCUACGUCUCCUCAGGGUGACCCCUGAGAGGGCCUGUGAUAUUACUGUGGCAUGUGUUGUUCUUCAUAAUAUUACCACUAUUAGAGGAGAGCAACACCCUGCCCUACAAACUGAAGACCCAGAUGAUGAGCCCAUCCACCUGCAGCUAUCCAGGACAGCAGAGCAGUCAGAGACACCGUAUGCAAGAAUCACUUUAGAGUUUAAGUCUCCAUCAUCACCACCACAGCAAAUAAAGACAUGAUACACAUUUCA